GGCUCCGUGGCGCAAUGGAUAGCGCGUCGGACUUCUAAUUCGGAGGCUGUGGGUUCGAGUCCCACCGGAGUCG
rnacentral:tRNA from 1 species